GAUGAACGCUGGCGGCGUGCCUAAUACAUGCAAGUCGAGCGAACUGAUUAGAAGCUUGCUUCUAAGACGUUAGCGGCGGACGGGUGAGUAACACGUGGGCAACCUGCCUGUAAGACUGGGAUAACUUCGGGAAACCGAAGCUAAUACCGGAUAGGAUCUUCUCCUUCAUGGGAGAUGAUUGAAAGAUGGUUUCGGCUAUCACUUACAGAUGGGCCCGCGGUGCAUUAGCUAGUUGGUGAGGUAACGGCUCACCAAGGCAACGAUGCAUAGCCGACCUGAGAGGGUGAUCGGCCACACUGGGACUGAGACACGGCCCAGACUCCUACGGGAGGCAGCAGUAGGGAAUCUUCCGCAAUGGACGAAAGUCUGACGGAGCAAUGCCGCGUGAGUGAAGAAGGCCUUCGGGUCGUAAAACUCUGUUAUAAGAGAAGAACAAAUUGUAGAGUAACUGCUACAGUCUUGACGGUAUCUUAUCAGAAAGCCACGGCUAACUACGUGCCAGCCGCCGCCGUAA
rnacentral:rRNA from 1 species